GAUGAAGAACGCAGCGAAAUGCGAUACUUGGUGUGAAUUGCAGAAUCCCGUGAACCAUCGAGUCUUUGAACGCAAGUUGCGCCCGAAGCCAUUAGGCCGAGGGCACGCCUGCCUGGGCGUCACACGCCGUUGCCCCCCCAUCUACUCCUUCGGGAUUGCGGGGGGCGGGUGAUGGCCUCCCGUGCGCCUCGCCGCGCGGUUGGCAUAAAUGCCAAGUCCUCGGCGACGCACGCCACGACAAUCGGUGGUUGCGAAACCUCGGUUGCCCGUCGUGUGCGGUCGUCGCGCAUCGAGGGCUCGAAAAAAUUGCCGGGUUCCGGCUCGGCUUUCAACGCGACCCCAGGUCAGGCGGGGUUACCCGCUGAAUUUAAGCAUAUCAAUAAGCGGAGGA
rnacentral:misc_RNA from 1 species